rnacentral:rRNA from 1 species
AACGCGAAGAACCUUACCUGGGUUUGACAUAUACCGGACCUCCGUAGAGAUACGGUUUCCCUUGUGGUCGGUAUACAGGUGGUGCAUGGCUGUCGUCAGCUCGUGUCGUGAGAUGUUGGGUUAAGUCCCGCAACGAGCGCAACCCUUGUCCUGUGUUGCCAGCACGUAAUGGUGGGGACUCGCAGGAGACUGCCGGGGUCAACUCGGAGGAAGGUGGGGACGACAUCAAGUCAUCAUGCCCCUUAUGUCCAGGGCUUCACACAUGCUACAAUGGGCGGUACAGAGGGCUGCGAUACCGUGAGGUGGAGCGAAUCCCUUAAAACCGGUCUCAGUUCGGAUAGGGGUCUGCAACUCUCCCCCGUGAAGUCGGAGUCGCUAGUAAUCGCACAUCACCAACGCUGCGGUGAAUAUCUUCCCGGGUCUUGUACACACCG